CGGAGAGUUUGAUCCUGGCUCAGGACGAACGCUGGCGGCGUGCCUAAUACAUGCAAGUCGAACGAACUCUGGUAUUGAUUGGUGCUUGCAUCAUGAUUUACAUUUGAGUGAGUGGCGAACUGGUGAGUAACACGUGGGAAACCUGCCCAGAAGCGGGGGAUAACACCUGGAAACAGAUGCUAAUACCGCAUAACAACUUGGACCGCAUGGUCCGAGCUUGAAAGAUGGCUUCGGCUAUCACUUUUGGAUGGUCCCGCGGCGUAUUAGCUAGAUGGUGGGGUAACGGCUCACCAUGGCAAUGAUACGUAGCCGACCUGAGAGGGUAAUCGGCCACAUUGGGACUGAGACACGGCCCAAACUCCUACGGGAGGCAGCAGUAGGGAAUCUUCCACAAUGGACGAAAGUCUGAUGGAGCAACGCCGCGUGAGUGAAGAAGGGUUUCGGCUCGUAAAACUCUGUUGUUAAAGAAGAAUAUAUCUGAGAGUAACUGUUCAGGUAUUGACGGUAUUUAACCAGAAAGCCACGGCUAACUACGUGCCAGCAGCCGCGGUAAUACGUAUGUUCCAAGCGUUAUCCGGAUUUAUUGGGCGUAAAGCGAGCGCAGACGGUUAUUUAAGUCUGAAGUGAAAGCCCUCAGCUCAACUGAGGAAUUGCUUUGGAAACUGGAUGACUUGAGUGCAGUAGAGGAAAGUGGAACUCCAUGUGUAGCGGUGAAAUGCGUAGAUAUAUGGAAGAACACCAGUGGCGAAGGCGGCUUUCUGGACUGUAACUGACGUUGAGGCUCGAAAGUGUGGGUAGCAAACAGGAUUAGAUACCCUGGUAGUCCACACCGUAAACGAUGAGUGCUAGGUGUUU
rnacentral:rRNA from 1 species